rnacentral:rRNA from 1 species
GUAGGGAAUAUUGGGCAAUGGAGGCAACUCUGACCCAGCCAUGCCGCGUGCAGGAUGACGGCCCUCUGGGUUGUAAACUGCUUUUAUACGGGAAGAAAAAAUACUACGUGUAGUAUACUGACGGUACCGUAAGAAUAAGGAUCGGCUAACUCCGUGCCAGCAGCCGCGGUAAUACGGAGGAUCCAAGCGUUGUCCGGAUUUAUUGGGGUUAAAGGGUGAGUAGGCGGAUCUUUAAGUCAGUUGUGAAAGCCUGCAGCUUAACUGUAGAAUUGCCAUUGAAACUGAAGAACUUGAAUGUGGUUAAAGUAGGCGAAAUGUAUCAUGUAGCGGUGAAAUGCUUAGAUAUGAUACAGAACACCGAUAGCGAAGGCAGCUUGCUGAACCAUUAUUGACGCUGAGGCACGAAAGCGUGGGGAGCGAACAGGAUUAGAUACCCGGGUAGUCC